GUGCUCACUUCAGCAGCACAUAUAUGAAAAUUGGAACAAUACAGAGAAGAUUAGCCUGGCCCCUGCACGAGGAUGACAUACAAAUUCAUGAAGCAUUCCAUAUUUUU
rnacentral:snRNA from 1 species